GGAGGGUGCGAGCGUUAAUCGGAAUUACUGGGCGUAAAGCGCGCGUAGGCGGCUUGGUCAGUCGGAUGUGAAAGCCCCGGGCUUAACCUGGGAAUUGCAUUCGAUACUGCCAGACUAGAGUAUGGGAGAGGGAAGCGGAAUUUCCGGUGUAGCGGUGAAAUGCGUAGAUAUCGGAAGGAACACCAGUGGCGAAGGCGGCUUCCUGGCCCAAUACUGACGCUGAGGUGCGAAAGCGUGGGGAGCGAACAGGAUUAGAUACCCUGGUAGUCCACGCCGUAAACGAUGAGAACUAGAUGUCGGGAGGAUUUGCCUCUCGGUGUCGCAGCUAACGCGUUAAGUUCUCCGCCUGGGGAGUACGCCGGCAACGGUA
rnacentral:rRNA from 1 species